rnacentral:rRNA from 1 species
GUAACUUGCGAUAAGCUCAGAUUAGGCAGUAACAGCCACUUGAGUCUGAGAUUUCCGAAUGGGGAAACCCAACUGCAUAAGCAGUUACUGUUAACUGAAUACAUAGGUUAACAGGGCGAACCGGGGGAACUGAAACAUCUAAGUACCCCGAGGAGAAGAAAUCAACCGAGAUUCCGAUAGUAGCGGCGAGCGAAAUUGGAUUAGCCCUUAAGCUUUACAUGCGUCA